rnacentral:rRNA from 1 species
UUUAAACUAGGGAUAGAUAACCUAUUAUUAAAAAUGUAAAUUUUUUUACUUAAUUAGUAUUAGUUAUGUUCUUGAAAAUUAAAAAAUUUGGCGGUAUUUUAGUCUUUUCAGAGGAACCUGUUCUAUAAUCGAUAGUCCACGAUUAGAUGCACUUUAUUUAUUAGUUUAUAUAUCGUCGUAGUUUAAAUAUUUUAAUAGAAUUAUAAAUAUUUAAAAUUUUUUAUUAAAAAAUAAAUCAGAUCAAGGUGUAGUUUAUAAUAAAGAAGAAAUGGGUUACAAUAAAUUUAUUUUAAAAUAAUUUUUGUUAAAAAAAUUUGAAUUUGGAUUUGAGAGUAAUUUUUUAGAUUUUUUUAAGAUGAUUAAAGCUCUAAAAUAUGUACAUAUCGCCCGUCGCUUUCAUUUUAAAAUGAAAUAAGUCUAAACAUAGU